rnacentral:lncRNA from 1 species
UUUCAAAAAUGAUCCUCACUUUGUGAUUGCACAAAAAAAUACUGUUUCCAACGCUUUCCUCAGCUUCCGGUGUUAUGGUGGACAAACAAAAAAAUCCUCUGCCACUCCACAGUCUGGACGGAGCAGAAAAGAAACCCGCCAGCUCGUAAGAACCGGUCCACCAGAAUUAUGAGGUUUUGCUCCUUUAGCCUCUGCUCCCAUGAUUUCAUCCCAGGGAAUCUAAAGUGUCAUUUCCUCUCUGGAAGAAAGGAAGCACAAAACAUGCUAGGUAUGUACUCUAAAUUUUCACUCAGCAUCAUAGCUAGCUAUAAAUUUCUU